GCUUCAGGUGUUUGUUUGACAACAAGGAGCGCGUGAUGACAGACACCAAAACAAAACACGUGCAGUUUGAUUUAAAUACACAAUUUACAGAUGACAGCUUAGCGACAGACUCUUAAUGUGUUUAAACAGCACAUAUUCCAGCUCAACAGCAAAUUAAACCUGCGGAAUCUGCGAUAAAGAGGAGGAAUGGAGUGAAGAGACUCACCUAAUGAAGGUUGUGUUUGGACUGUACAGCCAACAGAAUCAGAGCUCUGGACAUUUGACAGCCAUGGACUGUAAGGAUGGACAUCUGCUGCUGGACAGGCAAAAGCGAAACGACUGCUGGUCAUGAUUCUGGAGGUCAGCGGAGACGCCAUGAUUCCCCACACCUUCUCACUCACUGUUCAACUGUUAUGUUCCCUGUUGUUACACACAAAAACAACUGUUCAAGUUACAGGUCCAGCAUGCUGAGUUGGGUCUUGAAUCACCUGGACUCCAACAAAACCUCAUCUUCAUUUACCCAGCAGAGCCACCAUGGCUUUCACAAUGAGUGUGUUGGAGACACUUUGAUGGAUGCUGAUGAUGGAGCUCAUGAGUUAUUAUAGUGUUUCAUUUUUAAAUUGGUUUCA